AAAUAGAUUAAAAUAAUUAAGGGCACACAAAGGAUGCCUUGGUAGUAAGAGCCGAUGAAGGACGUGGUAAGCUGCGAUAAGCCUAGAUAAGUUGCAAUCGAACGUAAGAGUCUAGGAUUUCCGAAUGGAGCAAUCUAUUAAGAUGGAGUCUUAAUACGAAAGAGGGAACCGCGUGAACUGAAACAUCUAAGUAACGCGAGGAAAAGAAAGUAAAAACGAUACCCAAAGUAGCGGCGAGCGAAAUGGGUCAAGCCUAAACCUUAAAUAUGUCAAGGAUACAGCCGUUGUAUUUAAGGGGUUGAGGGACAGAGUGAUGAAGAACUGUAAGAUAUUCAAUAUAGUGUAUUGAUGAACUAGAAUAGUCUGGAAAGGUUAACCGUAGAAGGUGAAAGUCCUGUAUAGGUAAAUCCUUACACAUAUAACUUUGAUCCCAAGUAACAUGGAACACGAGGAAUUCUGUGUGAAUCAGUGAGGACCAUAUCUCAUAAGGCUAAAUACUCUUACUAACCGAUAGCGCAUAGUACCGUGAGGGAAAGGUGAAAAGAACCCCUGGAGGGGAGUGAAAUAGAACCUGAAAUUGUGUGGUUACAAGCGGUCAGAGCCAGUAAUGGUGAUGGCGUGCCUUUUGGAGAAUGAUCCUGCGAGUUACGUUAAACGGCGAGGUUAAGUAUUACGGAGCCGAAGGGAAACCAAGUCUUAAUAGGGCGAUUUAGUCGUUUGGCGUAGACGCGAAACCUGGUGAUCUAAACCUGUCCAGGAUGAAGCUGUGGUAAGACACAGUGGAGGUCCUAACCCACCGCCGUUGAAAAGUUGGGGGAUGAGGUAGGUUUAGGGGUGAAAAGCCAAUCGAACCAGGAGAUAGCUCGUUCUCUCCGAAAUGCAUCUAGGUGCAGCCUUGAGUGUUCAAUUAUGGGGGUAGAGCACUGAAUGAUCUAGGGGGCAUAUUGCUUACUGAAAUCAAUCAAACUCCGAAUACCAUAAUUUAUAGCUCAGGAGUGAGACUAUGGGAGUUAACUUCCAUUGUCAAAAGGGAAACAACCCAGACCACCAGCUAAGGUCCCUAAUUAUAACUAAGUGGGAAAGGAGGUGGAGAUUCACAAACAACUAGGAGGUUGGCUUAGAAGCAGCCAUACCUUUAAAGAGUGCGUAAUAGCUCACUAGUCGAGAGUCUCUGCGCCGAUAAUGUAACGGGGCUAAGUUAUAAACCGAAGCUGUGGAAUCCGUAAGGAUUGGUAGGAGAGCGUUCUGUAGGCCGUUGAAGGAGAAGGGUAACCGACUUUGGAGGUAUCAGAAGUGAGAAUGCAGGAAUAAGUAGCGAGAAAGGGGGCGAGCAUCCCCCUCGCCGGAAGACCAAGGUUUUCAGGGUAAAGCUUGUCUUCCCUGAGUAAGCCGGGACCUAAGCCCAGGCUAUAAUGCGUAGGCGAAUGGAAAACAGAUUAAUAUUUCUGUGCCAGUCAUAUAUUGUGAUGGAGGGACGCAGAAGGGUAUGCGCGCGGACGAACGGAAGUGUCCGUAGAAGUAUGUAGGAUGACUUAGUAGGAAAAUCCAUUAAGUUAUAUCUGAGGUAUGAUAUAUAGUCGUAAGAUGAAUGCGCAAAUCCCAUGCUGCCAAGAAAAGCUUCUAACGUUAAUUUAUGACUGCCCGUACUGCAAACCGACACAGGUGGUCAGGAUGAGAAAUCUAAGGCGGACAGGCUAACUCUCGUUAAGGAACUCUGCAAAAUAACCUCGUAACUUCGGGAGAAGAGGAGCCCUUGGGUGUUAGUAUCCACGCGAUACAAAGCGCUCGAGGGUCGCAGUGAAGAGGCUCAAGCAACUGUUUAACAAAAACACAGGUCUAUGCUAAGCUGGAAGGCGAUGUAUAUGGGCUGACACCUGCCCAGUGCUGGAAGGUUAAGAGGAGGAGUGAGAGCUCCGAAUUGAAGCCCCAGUGAACGGCGGCCGUAACUAUAACGGUCCUAAGGUAGCGAAAUUCCUUGUCGGGUAAGUUCCGACCUGCACGAAUGGUGUAAUGAUUUGAGCGCUGUCUUGACGGGAGGCCUGGUGAAAUUGUAUUACCGGUGAAGAUACCGGUUACCUACAGUAGGACGGAAAGACCCCAUGGAGCUUUACUGUAGCUUGGUAUUGGGUUUUGGCAUUGCAUGUAUAGGAUAGUUGGGAGACUGAGAUGAUAUGGCGCUAGCUGUAUCGGAGUCAUCGGUGGAAUACCAACCAUUCAAUGCUGAAAUUCUAAUCUGUGGUUUGUAGCCACGGAGACAGUGCUAGGUGGGCAGUUUGACUGGGGCGGUCGCCUCCGAAAGAGUAACGGAGGCGUUCAAAGGUUCUCUCAGGUUGGAUGGAAAUCAACCAUAGAGUGCAAUGGCAUAAGAGAGCUUGACUGCAAGACUGACGGGUCGAGCAGAUGCGAAAGCAGGACAUAGUGAUCCGGCGAUUCCGAAUGGAAGGGUCGUCGCUCAACGGAUAAAAGCUACCCUGGGGAUAACAGGCUGAUCCUACCCGAGAGUCCAUAUCGACGGUAGGGUUUGGCACCUCGAUGUCGGCUCAUCGCAUCCUGGGGCUGGAGAAGGUCCCAAGGGUUGGGCUGUUCGCCCAUUAAAGCGGUACGUGAGCUGGGUUCAGAACGUCGUGAGACAGUUCGGUCCCUAUCCACUGUAGGCGUUAGAAUAUUGAGAAGACCUGUCCUUAGUACGAGAGGACCGGGAUGGACAAACCUCUGAUGUACCAGUUGUCACGCCAGUGGCACAGCUGGGUAGUCACGUUUGGAAUAGAUAACCGCUGAAAGCAUCUAAGCGGGAAACUAACUUCAAGAUAAGUAUUCUUUAAGAUACCUUCGAGCCUAGGAGGUUGAUAGGUUGGGGGUGUAAGUACAGCAAUGUAUUUAGCUGACCAAUACUAAUUAUCGAAGUUUUAAUCUAAUUUGUUUUUACUAUAUAGUUUC
rnacentral:rRNA from 1 species